rnacentral:rRNA from 1 species
CCCUUAGAUGUCCUGGGCUGCACGCGCGCUACACUGAUGUGUCCAGUAAGCACCUAACCUCUUCCGAAAGGAACGGGUAACCUUUGCAAAGCACAUCGUGAUGGGGAUAGAUUAUUGCAAUUAUUAGUCUUGAACGAGGAAUUCCUAGUAAGCACAAGUCGUCAGCUUGUGUUGAUUACGUCCCUGCCCUUUGUACACACCGCCCGUCGCUCCUACCGAUUGAAUGGCUUAGUGAGGCUUCCGGAUUGGUUUAGAGAAGGGGGCAACUCCAUCUUGGAACCGAGAAGCUAGUCAAACUUGGUCAUUUAGAGGAAGUAAAAGUCGUAACA